UGAGGAACGUGACCUUCGGCGGGGGAUAGCCGGCCCAACGGCCGGGUAAUACCGCGUACGACCACAUGGGGACAUCCCUGAGUGGUGAAAGCAGCAAUGCGCCGAUGGAGUGCCUCGCGGCCUAUCAGCUAGUUGGUGAGGUAACGGCUCACCAAGGCGACGACGGGUAGCUGGUCUGAGAGGAUGGCCAGCCACACUGGGACUGAGACACGGCCCAGACUCCGUAGGGAG
rnacentral:rRNA from 1 species